GGUAAGUGGGUAGCGAAUGGGGAUGAGGAUAAUUAAAAUAGCCUGUUACCAGAGCUCUCAUGUUUAUACUGCCACAAUAUGUACAAGUUCAUCCACUAGGCUGCAUAUGGUCGUGUUACUUAAUCUGCUUGCUUGGGUUAGUUUUAGUUUUCAUAUGGUCAACACAGCAAUUUUAAUCCAUUUGACGGAAGGGCAAGGUUGCAACUUCUUGACAACUAUGAACCCUAUAAAGUAUGCGGACCGUUGGAAUUCCACACAUGUUACAUUUGGAACUUCAAACGUUAUGAAAUUCAUUUGAAAUGCCUUGUGCAAACACUUG
rnacentral:misc_RNA from 1 species